rnacentral:rRNA from 1 species
CUGCUCAGGACGAACGCUGGCGGCGUGCUUCAUACAUGCAAGUCGAACGAGAAGCUGACUUCGGUCAGUGGAAGUGGCGGACGGGUGAGUAACACGUAGGAAAUCUGCCCUUUGGAGGGGGACAACAGUCGGAAACGACUGCUAAUACCCCAUAUGAGCUAAGCUGAAAUGCUUAUCUUGAAAACUCCGGUGCCAAAGGAUGAGCCUGCGCCUGAUUAGCUAGUUGGUGGUGUAAUGGACUACCAAGGCGACGAUCAGUAGCUGGUUUGAGAGGAUGAUCAGCCACAAUGGGACUGAGACACGGCCCAUACUCCUACGGGAGGCAGCAGUAGGGAAUUUUGCGCAAUGGGGGAAACCCUGACGCAGCAACGCCGCGUGAUUGAUGAAGCCCUUCGGGGUGUAAAGAUCUGUCAGUAGGGACGAAUUUUGACGGUACCUACAGAGGAAGCACCGGCUAACUCCGUGCCAGCCGCCGC